CAAUCGGCCCUUUUCAGGGCCACCAACUUUUUAAAGAAAAAGAUUU
rfam:Daphnia pulex DAPPTscaffold_6_Cont441, whole genome shotgun sequence.